UAAAGUUCAAAAGAGUAUUUAAUAAAAGUCUUGGUAAAAGUUUUAGGACGUUGCAUUACGAAAAUUAUAAGUAAGCUUAGGCUUGUGAUCUAUAAAUUUCCUGAGAGAAAACUCAAAAACUUAUUAUACAGCAAAUAUGUGAAUUGAAUCAUCUUAGUAGCAUAAAAAAAAUCAAACGAGAAUUUGCAAGUACUGGUGAACGAAAGCAAAUUAAGCCGAAGUAAUUUACUUUGUGAAAUAAUAUUAUAAAAGGUAUUAAUCCUGUAACAAAGUUUAUGGAAAGUAACAUGAGUAACACGAAUAAUUUGUGUGAAUAUAAGGAGAACCACCUUCUAGAGCUUAUAAAACUUUUAACCGAUAGUAAACGAGUAUUGUGAAAGAAAGACUAAGUUAUCCGUUAGGAAUUAAGUUAAUUGAAUAUUCUAUAUGUUUCGGAGUUUAAAGAACCACGAUUUGCCUUUUGCAUAAUGAAUCAGCAAGUUAAUAUAUAUUGCAAGUAUAAAUUAAUAAAAUUAAACAAAAGUAAUAUUUAUUAGACCUGAAACCAAGUGAUCUAAUUAUGAACAAGCUAAAAAUUUAUUAAGUUAAAUUGAAGGGCUGUACUCACAUAUGUAGCAAAAUAUGGAGAUGAUUUGUGAUUAGGGGUGAAAGAUCAAUCAAACUUGGAGAUAGCCGGUUUUCCACGAAAAGUAUUUAAGUACUACAUGAUUUAAGUAAAUUAUAGUUAGAGUCAACUAAUUGAAGAAUGGGGUGUAAAAACUUACUGAAUUUAAUAUAACUCCGAAUUAAAAUUUAAUCAUUAAUCAUAGCCAGUCUUUAAGCGAUAAGGUUUAAGAGACAAAAGGAAAACAAUCCAGCCUAUAUACUAAGAUCUUAAAAUUGUAACUUAGAGAAAAGACUUUUGGAAAUUACAAAUAGCUAUAAGGUAAGCUUAGAAGCAGCUCCCCAUUAGAGAAAGCGUUUUAGCUCGCUAUUCUUUUCCUAAAGUUAAAAAUAAUAGAGACUAUAAGUUACAUAUCGAUGUAAUAGAUUAAUUAAAUUAAUGGUAGUGGAACACUCUGUAAUUUAAACUUAUUUGAAAAAAUAAAGAAGGAUUCAGAGAAGCAAAUGCUGAUAUGAGUAGCGUAAAUCUUGUCUAAAUCGAGAUCAUUUUAUGUUGAAGGUUUUUAAUGAAAAUUCAGAAACAUUAAGUUAGUCGGCCCUUAAAAAUGAAGCGAAAGCUAAAUUUGAUAGGAAUUUUAUUUUUUUGAUAAAACCAUUUGUAUGCAAAUAUAUGUGAAAAAAAAUUGCACGAUUUAAAUAGAAUAAUUAAAGGGGUACUAUUAAAUCUUCAAUUUUUCAAGAAAAAAUUAAAAUAAAAGACCGUACUUAAACCGACACAGGUAUACUGAUUGAGAAAAUUAAAAUGAACGGGUAAAUUAUAUUGAAGGAACUCGGCAAAUUAACUCUGUACGUUCGCAAUAAAGAGAGCCUUAAUAAAAUAAGGUAGCAUAAAAUAAAAAGCAACGACUGGUUAUCAAAACCAUAGGACUCUGCUAAUUCGUAAAAAAGUAUAGAGUCUGAUGCCUGCCCAGUGCUUAAAAAAGAAAAAGAUAAGUUAAAGCUUAAAUUUGAAUUCUAAGUAAACGGCGGUUCUAACUAUAAGAAUCCUUAGGUAGCGAAAUUCCUUGACGGGUAAAUUCCGUCCUGCAUGAAUGGCGUAACGAUUGCUUUACUGUCUCCAAUAUAAACCCGGCGAAAUUACAGAACCUGUGAAAAUGCAGGUUUCUUACAGUAAGACGGAAAGACCCUAGAUCCUUUACUCUAAUUUUGUAUUGUAAAAUUAUUUAUAUUAUGUAGUGCAGGUGGGAGUAAAUUACUAAAAUGAAACACCACCUUAUAUUAAAUUGUAUUUACUUAUUAAAUUACUUUAUUUAAAACAGUGCAAAAAAGAGAGUUUACUUGGGACGAGUACCUCCUAAAUUGUAACGGAGGUGUACGAUAGUAAAUUAAGCAUAAUGGUAAUAUUUGCUUGACAAUUAGAUUUAUAAAUCAAAUUGAGACGUAAGUCAGUCAUAGUGAUCCGGUAUUUAAGUGUGGAAUUAAUACCGCUUAACAAAUAAAAGGAACUCUAGGGAUAACAGAUUCAUCGUGACUAAAAGUUCUUAUUGACGUCACGGUUUGAUACCUCGAUGUCGACUCAUCUUAUCCUGAAAUUGAAGAAGAUUUCAAGGGUCUAGUUGUUCGCUAGUUAAAAAGGUACGUGAGUUGGGUUCAGAACGUCGUGAGACAGUUCGGUCCCUAUCUACUGUAAGUAUGAAAAAUAAAGAAUUUAUUUCUAGUACGAGAGGAUCGAAAUAAAUUAACCUCUAGUGAAUUUGAUUGUUAUACCUAUAGCAAAGUCUAAUAGCCAAGUUAAUUAAAUAUAAGUACUGAAAGAAUCAAAUAGUACAAAAAUUUUUUUUUAAUUUUUCGAGAAUAAUUUAAACGAAAAUUAAAUUGAUCGAUUAUAAAACAUAAGUUUAGUAAUAAAUGAAGUUUAUAAAUACGAAUUUAUUCAAAAACUUUAAACU
rnacentral:rRNA from 1 species